rnacentral:lncRNA from 1 species
AGGUUGAGUUGCAGGUUGGCUACAUUUUGUGUAUUUGGAAACGUACAAAGUACUCUGAAUUUCAUGAAAUAUUUUGAGGCAAAGUUGGACUGGAAUGUCCCCAAAUAUGGUAGAGCAAAUAGCACAUCUGCCAGAGAAAGAUCCUACACUUUAAAGAGAAGAAGCAGACAACUUCCUGGUGAAUUUAGGACUGCUUGAUGGUGGUGUUGCAAUUUUAUUUGUUGAGUUAAUGAAACCAUUAGAGCCAUUCUUCCCGAUCUGGCCAGCUAAG